rnacentral:rRNA from 1 species
UGGGGAAUUUUGGACAAUGGGCGAAAGCCUGAUCCAGCAAUGCCGCGUGUGUGAAGAAGGCCUUCGGGUUGUAAAGCACUUUUGUCCGGAAAGAAAUCCUUGGCUCUAAUACAGUCGGGGGGAUGACGGUACCGGAAGAAUAAGCACCGGCUAACUACGUGCCAGCAGCCGCGGUAAUACGUAGGGUGCAAGCGUUAAUCGGAAUUACUGGGCGUAAAGCGUGCGCAGGCGGUUUGCUAAGACCGAUGUGAAAUCCCCGGGCUCAACCUGGGAACUGCAUUGGGUGACUGGCAGGCUAGAGUAUGGCAGAGGGGGGUAGAAUUCCACGUGUAGCAGUGAAAUGCGUAGAGAUGUGGAGGAAUACCGAUGGCGAAGGCAGCCCCCUGGGCCAAUACUGACGCUCAUGCACGAAAGCGUGGGGAGCAAACAGGAUUAGAUACCCUGGUAGUCCACGCCCUAAACGAUGUCAACUAGUUGUUGGGGAUUCAUUUCCUAGUAACGUAGCUAACGCGUGAAGUUGACCGCCUGGGGGAGUACGGUCGCAAGAUU